AACCAUAGAAACCUGCGGAGUACCUGCGGAAGGAUCAUUACAGAGUUAUCCAACUCCCAAACCCAUGUGAACUUAUCUCUUUGUUGCCUCGGCGCAAGCUACCCGGGACCCAGCGCCCCGGGCGGCCCGCCGGCGGACAAACCAAAACUCUUGUUAUCUUAGUUGAUUAUCUGAGCGUCUUAUUUAAUAAGUCAAAACUUUCAACAACGGAUCU
rnacentral:misc_RNA from 1 species